CCCUGCCAUUUGUACACACCGCCCGUCGCUGCUACCGAUUGGAUGGUCCGGUGAAAUCCUCGGAUAGCGAUGAAUACUUUGACUUCGUGUUAAAGUUCAUUGCUAGAAGUUGAUUAAACCUUAUCAUC
rnacentral:rRNA from 1 species